GACGAACGCUGGCGGCGUGCUUAACACAUGCAAGUUGAACGGGCAUACAUGGAAGCUUGCUGAAGUGUAUGUUAGUAGCGGACGGGUGAGUAAUGCAUGAGGACCUGCCUGCCGGAGGGGGACAACAGUUGGAAACGGCUGCUAAUACCCCGUACGCCGAGAGGUGAAAGGAAUGGAGACAUUCCGCCGGGAGAGGGACUCAUGUCCUAUCAGCUAGUUGGUGAGGUAACGGCUCACCAAGGCGACGACGGGUAGCCGGCCUGAGAGGGCGACCGGCCACACUGGAACUGAGAGACGGUCCAGACUCCUACGGGAGGCAGCAGUGGGGAAUAUUGGGCAAUGGGGGCAACCCUGACCCAGCGACGCCGCGUGAGGGAAGAAGGCCUUCGGGUCGUAAACUUCUUUUGUACGUGAAGAAGCAGAUGACGGUAGUGUACGAAUAAGUCCCGGCUAACUACGUGCCAGCAGCCGCAGUAA
rnacentral:rRNA from 1 species